CGGGGGACGCCCUGCGUGCCGGGCGGGCUGCCGGGAUCAGUCAGAUCCCGCUCCCCUCCGCUCUCCCCGGCUCUCCCCCGCUCCCCUCCGCUCUCCCCGGCUCUACCCCGCUCCCCUCCGCUCUCCCCGGCUCUCCCCCGCUCCCCUCCGCUCUCCCCGGCUCUACCCCGCUCCUCCCCGGCUCUCCCCCGCUCCCCUCCGCUCUCCCCGGCUCUCCCCCGCUCCCCGCCCGCGGUGCCUCCGCUGACUCAGAGCGGCACCGCCGCCGCCGCCGCUUCGCACGCGAUGCCGCCGGGUCCCCUCAUCCCCCGCGUCCUCCCGGCUCCCUCCCUCGUCCUGCGGAGGACAAGGGCUCCGCAGCCCCGCAGGGGAUGCUCGGGGAGGCGGGAGUCGGGCAGGAGUGGCUGGAGGAAGGGAGGAGAGGUUUCACGGCCAUAAUCCCAUUCUGUGGUGAGGCUGGGACAGGCCUCAUUGUCUCUUGCAUUUCCCUGCGGUGCCUGAUGUUACAAGCCCUGCUGGUGAAGGAUUUCUCCAUUUGGAGUGGAGCACAGCCCCUCCCAGGUAACAUUCCCUUCACCAGCAGCUUCCAAAUGCCGUGCUCAGGUCAGCUUUGAUUCUUGCAGGGCACACAACUGUAAACAGCCAAUGUGGCUGUGUGACCUGCAGGAGUAAUCUGUUUUCAGUUGUGGUCAAUUAAAUCCAAAGUUUUGUUGGGGUUUUUGGGGGGUUUUUUUGGUGGUUUUUGGUUAGUUUUUGGGGUUUUUUGUUUUUUGUUUUUUUUUUUUUUAAGGAAGGAAACCCACAUAAAUCAAACCUUGUUAAUUGCCACAGGCUAUUUUGUCCUUAGUUUAAUUCUGCCUUUUGUCAGUUAAACUGCCA
rnacentral:lncRNA from 1 species